AGCCCCUUUCACUUUGUCUCUCCCUCUGCUUCUAACUUUCCUCUCCAUACUGCCACCGCUGAAUCCCUGUGUUUCUCUCUCACCAACCUCUCCUUCUGUUCUCCUAGUGCUCCAGUGUCCUCUGUUCCGUUCGUCUUGUUAGCCCUCUUCUCAGUGUCCUCCUUAAUCUUGGCAGCCCCGUUAAUCUUGUCCGGCUCCCCCCUCUCAGUCUAACUCCCAGGUCUAUAUAUAUCCCUUCUCUCCACUCAAAUCUUGGGGCUUUUUGCACCCCCCACACACAGCAAGCUAAUCUGCCGGCUGCCCUCGUGCUGUGGCUGGGGGGAGACGCUUAAGUGUCUCGUGUGUACCAUACCCAGGGCUCCAGGGCUCCAGGGGCCUGUGCCCCUCCUGUGUGCCUGGGACCUCAGCACAGGCUAUGCCAGAGCCUGGCCUGGACGAGCCCGGGAUCUCUCAGAUAGAUCCUCUCAGGGUGGAGGGAGCUGGGGUCCCUCCCCCCAGCUGUACGACCUGGCAUCUUGUACAGCCCAUGGGGCUGCUUCUGCCCAGCUGAAGCGCAGGGGGAGGGGCACUAGCCCUUCCGACAGAAAAGACCCUGAGGGCCUAAGGCUUUUUAAUCUCAGCCCAAAGGUAGGGUCCCCAAAUCAAAAUAAAUUUCCACACUAGUGAGAGAAGGUUUCAAAUGCAGUCAGGUCGUAUAUUACUUUUGUUGCCUUUAUCCCUAAGUUUAUUCAUCUAAAUAAACCCAUUUGCUUUAAUUGAAAAAA